CCCUUAGAUGUUCUGGGCAGCACGCGCGCUACAAUGGUCUUCGCAAACGGAUGCAUUCUCGAAGGAGAAUGCCAAUCUUGGAAUCUAUGCCUUGGUCGGGACAGUUGCUUGCAAUUUUUCGACUCGAACCAGGAAUUCCUUGUAAUCGUGAUUCAUCACAUCACGAUGAAUACGUCCCUGCCCUUUGUACACACCGCCCGUCGCUCCUACCGAUCGAAGAGUUAGGUGAAUUGUUUUGAUCGAUAAGAUUUGACUAUGGUCAACUCUCGUUGUGAAAUUCUGUGAAUCUGACUGUUUAGAGGAAGGAAAAGUCCUAACA
rnacentral:rRNA from 1 species